rnacentral:rRNA from 1 species
CACGGGGGGAGCAAGCGUUGUUCGGAAUCACUGGGCGUAAAGGGCGUGUAGGCGGUCAGGUAAGUGGGAUGUGAAAUGCCCCGGCUCACCCGGGGACCGGCAUCCCAUACUGCUUGGCUUGAGUACGGGAGAGGAUGUGGGAAUUCCUGGUGUAGCGGUGAAAUGCGUAGAUAUCAGGAGGAACACCGGUGGCGAAGGCGCACAUCUGGCCCGAUACUGACGCUGAGGCGCGAAAGCUAGGGAGCAAACGGG